CACGGAGCCCUAUCUUUCAACUUACAGUUUUGCACAGCUCAGAAACUUUUCAGAGAGUAGCAUUCUGAACAUUUCAGGUUUUUUUUUUUAAUGACCUCAGAGGUAAAAAAAUCUUUCCUACAAAUUACACAAAAGUUAAACCCCACAAAUACAACGUUUUUUGCAAGAAAAAUUACAUGGUAAGUAGUCAAAACACAACAUCCUGGGGAAAAUAUUUCCUGUCCAUACAGGAAUUGUUAAAAAUAUGGUAAGUAGAUC
rnacentral:lncRNA from 1 species